UGUGAAUGUAAACUAGAUAACAACGGAACAGGUGCUUGUUCGGAACUGUAACUCCAUUCGUUGUUCCUACACGGUCAGAUAUUCCUGUUGCACUGUUUGUACCGGUCGAAAACAUCCCACUAAGUAUAUAGCUCACUACAUAAGAUGUAGUAUUCGUUAUUUUAUACUCUAUAUAGUGCGCUUUUGUAUGGAGAAAGGACCCGUUUUUGGAGAGGAUAUUAUCACUGUUUGUGUCCACAGCCAUGGAGCUGAAGUGGGAUCAGGCUCCUGUCGCAGACCUGGGCCCCUUUUCCAAAGAUGUCUUUGAGAAAUUUUCUCUGGCGCCCACCAUGAAAGAGCUCUGGGCCUUAUUACAAAGCCCCGGACCUGGAAAUCGAUCGACGUCAACCAUCUUGAAGGACAUUUCAAUUCUCCAUUUGCACCGUGAGGAGGCGAGGAACGAGGAGUGAGGAAGCUUCCAUAGGAGCUACAGUAGGAGCGAGGAUACACAGGUGUAUCCUAUGCGCAAAUGUUGCUUGUCGAAAAACCUGACGCACGUUUUAAUUCCCCUCCUCCUUUACAUCUGCCACAAUCUCAAACAAAAAGUCCUUUGAUGGUGUGAUGGAAUUUUGUGCGAAACAUAAUGAAAUAAUAAUAUGCUUACAAUGAGUAUUGUAAUUAAUUGAUCCUUGCUUGUUUGGAUACUCAAAGCUGCACAAAAGAUGCGAUCGUUUAUGUAUUGUUUAUUAAUUCAUUGUUGAAUAACCCAGAAAUUUCACAUACUAUCAGUGCAUUUUGCUUUAUUGGGAAUGUUGUUAUUAACCAGGCUCCAACAACAUUACGGCAGAUCCCUGAAGCGCAG
ensembl:lncRNA